AAACCAUGAUGAGGACAUUUUAAUAAUAAAUCUUUAAAUCUUUCCCAACAUUCAUAAAAACUCUUGAUUAUCUUUUUGAAAAAAAACUCGGAGAUUUCUCUCCUUAGACU